AGCGAACGCUGGCGGCAGGCUUAACACAUGCAAGUCGAGCGGGCAUCUUCGGGUGUCAGCGGCGGACGGGUGAGUAACGCGUGGGAACGUGCCUUCUGGUUCGGAAUAACUCAGGGAAACUUGAGCUAAUACCGGAUACGCCCUUUUGGGGAAAGGUUUACUGCCGGAAGAUCGGCCCGCGUCUGAUUAGCUAGUUGGUGGGGUAACGGCCUACCAAGGCGACGAUCAGUAGCCGGUCUGAGAGGAUGAUCAGCCACACUGGGACUGAGACACGGCCCAGACUCCUACGGGAGGCAGCAGUGGGGAAUAUUGGACAAGGGGGGCAACCCUGAUCCAGCCAUGCCGCGUGAGUGAUGAAGGCCUUAGGGUUGUAAAGCUCUUUUAUCCGGGACGAUAAUGACGGUACCGGAGGAAUAAGCCCCGGCUAACUUCGUGCCAGCCGCCGCCGUAA
rnacentral:rRNA from 1 species